rnacentral:snRNA from 1 species
UUGAGCGUGCAAAAGUGAAAGAGUUAGAAAGAUACAGAGGAGACUAGCAUGGCCCCGGAGCAAGGAUGACACCCACACUGGUGAAGCAGUCCAUAUUUUU